GCCGGGGUGGUGAAAUUGGUAGACGCGCUGGUUUCAGGGACCAGUGUCCUUUGGGACGUGGGGGUUCGAGUCCCCCCUCCGGCAC
rnacentral:tRNA from 1 species